UACGUAGGGGGCGAGCGUUGUCCGGAUUUAUUGGGCGUAAAGAGCUCGUAGGCGGUUCGAUAAGUCGGACGUGAAAUCUCCACGCUCAACGUGGAGGGGCCGUUCGAUACUGUCGUGACUCGAGUCCGGUAGGGGAGUGUGGAAUUCCCGGUGUAGCGGUGAAAUGCGCAGAGAUCGGGAGGAACACCAAUUGCGAAGGCAGCUCGCUGGGACGUAACUGACGCUGAGACGCGAAAGCGUGGGGAGCAAACAGG
rnacentral:rRNA from 1 species